rnacentral:rRNA from 1 species
AGAUUGAACGCUGGCGGCAGGCCUAACACAUGCAAGUCGAGCGGCAGCGGGAAGAUAGUUURCUAUCUUUGCCGGCGAGCGGCGGACGGGUGAGUAAUGCCUAGGGAUCUGCCCAGUCGAGGGGGAUAACAGUUGGAAACGACUGCUAAUACCGCAUACGCCCUACGGGGGAAAGGAGGGGACCUUCGGGCCUUCCGCGAUUGGAUGAACCUAGGUGGGAUUAGCUAGUUGGUGAGGUAAUGGCUCACCAAGGCGACGAUCCCUAGCUGUUCUGAGAGGAUGAUCAGCCACACUGGGACUGAGACACGGCCCAGACUCCUACGGGAGGCAGCAGUGGGGAAUAUUGCACAAUGGGGGAAACCCUGAUGCAGCCAUGCCGCGUGUGUGAAGAAGGCCUUCGGGUUGUAAAGCACUUUCAGUAGGGAGGAAAGGUAGCAGCUUAAUACGCUGUUGCUGUGACGUUACCUACAGAAGAAGGACCG